CAGCAGCCGCGGGAAAACGAAGGCUGCAAGCGUUAAUCGGAAUUACUGGGCGUAAAGCGUGCGUAGGCGGUGAGUUAAGUCUGCUGUGAAAUCCCCGGGCUCAACCUGGGAAUGGCAGUGGAUACUGGCUCGCUAGAGUGUGUCAGAGGAUGGUGGAAUUCCCGGUGUAGCGGUGAAAUGCGUAGAGAUCGGGAGGAACAUCAGUGGCGAAGGCGGCCAUCUGGGACAACACUGACGCUGAGGCACGAAAGCGUGGGGAGCAAACAGGAUUAGAUACCCCCGUAGUCCCUGUCUCUUAUAC
rnacentral:rRNA from 1 species